rnacentral:misc_RNA from 1 species
UCUCCGUAGGUGAACCUGCGGAGGGAUCAUUACUGAGUGAGGGCUUCGGUCCGACCUCCAACCCUUUGUGAACCACACUUGUUGCUUCGGGGGCGACCCUGCCGCUUCGGCGGUGCGGCGCCCCCGGAGGCCAUUAAACACUGCAUCAUUGCGUCGGAGUUAAAGUAAAUUAAACAUAACUUUCAACCGCGGAUCUCUUGGUUCCAGCAUCGAUGAAGAACGCUGC